GCUGUUAUCAAACAAUUCUAUUGUCCAAUAAUAUUCAUGCUUAUCCUUUAACUUAACUACUUCUUAUAGGAAAGCCAAUGAGGUUUCAUUUGAUGUUUUUCAGACAAAUAAACAAUGGUUUUCAAGAAAUAAUUUUAUUGUAUCCCACCAUAAUCCCAAUUAUGGAUCUCAAUCAAGGAAGUUUGAAGCAAUAAGCUCUCAACACGACAAGAGAGCUAUCUAGCUGAGACUCAUUAUGGAUAAGGAACAAGUCAAAGAACAAAGCCAAGUUGCAUACCACAAAUCCAUAUCAUUAAAUUAUUGUAAAGACCAUGUUUAGGAUAGAAGAUAGACAUGGGAUUUGGUGAAACAAACGCGCUUUACAAAGCCCUAAUCUAAGUAUAAUACAAUAUACUACAAUAAUCAAUGUGUUUAAAGCUUACAAUAUUUCUUAAAAUAAAUGCCCACCUUUCAUUCUCA